AUGAACGCUGGCGGCGUGCCUAAUACAUGCAAGUCGAGCGAACGGACGAGAAGCUUGCUUCUCUGAUGUUAGCGGCGGCCGGGUGAGUAACACGUGGAUAACCUACCUAUAAGACUGGGAUAACUUCGGGAAACCGGAGCUAAUACCGGAUGAUAUUUUGAACCGCAUGGUUCAAAAGUGAAAGACGGUCUUGCUGUCACUUAUAGAUGGAUCCGCGCUGCAUUAGCUAGUUGGUAAGGUAACGGCUUACCAAGGCAACGAUGCAUAGCCGACCUGAGAGGGGGAGAGGCGACACUGGAACUGAGACACGGUCCAGACUCCUACGGGAGGCAGCAGUAGGGAAUCUUCCGCAAUGGGCGAAAGCCUGACGGAGCAACGCCGCGUGAGUGAUGAAGGUAUUCGGAUCGUAAAACUCUGUUAUUAGGGAAGAACAUAUGUGUAAGUAACUGUGCACAUCUUGACGGUACCUAAUCAGAAAGCCACGGCUAACUACGUG
rnacentral:rRNA from 1 species